rnacentral:rRNA from 1 species
UAAGGGCGCACGGUGGAUGCCUUGGCACUAGAAGCCGAUGAAGGACGUUACUAACGACGAUAUGCUUUGGGGAGCUGUAAGUAAGCUUUGAUCCAGAGAUUUCCGAAUGGGGAAACCCAGCAUGAGUUAUGUCAUGUUAUCGAUAUGUGAAUACAUAGCAUAUCAGAAGGCACACCCGGAGAACUGAAACAUCUUAGUACCCGGAGGAAGAGAAAGAAAAUUCGAUUCCCUUAGUAGCGGCGAGCGAAACGGGAAGAGCCCAAACCAACAAGCUUGCUUGUUGGGGUUGUAGGACACUCUAUACGGAGUUACAAAGGACGACAUUAGACGAAUCAUCUGGAAAGAUGAAUCAAAGAAGGUAAUAAUCCUGUAGUCGAAAAUGUUGUCUCUCUUGAGUGGAUCCUGAGUACGACGGAGCACGUGAAAUUCCGUCGGAAUCUGGGAGGACCAUCUCCUAAGGCUAAAUACUCUCUAGUGACCGAUAGUGAACCAGUACCGUGAGGGAAAGGUGAAAAGCACCCCGGGAGGGGAGUGAAAUAGAACCUGAAACCGUGUGCUUACAAGUAGUCAGAGCCCGUUAAUGGGUGAUGGCGU